AGCCUCUGGAGAGACCCGUUAAAUCGGGCGCCGAAGGAGCAAGCUUUCCUUUUUGCUGUUUUAACAUGCAUGGAAAGUGAAACUCUCAGGCAAAAGGACAGAGGAGAUAAG
rnacentral:ncRNA from 17 species